GGAUGUGAGGGCGAUCUGGCUGUGACAUCUAUCAUCCUAUUGAUGGGCGGGGUUGAUUGGGCUGAUCUGGCUGGCUAGGUAGGUGGCCCCUUCCUCUCUCACUGCUCCAUGUGCACCCCUUGUGAAGCUGUGCACUGGAUCAAACAGGACAACCACUCCCAAUAGAGGAGGACCACUUCCUC
rnacentral:snRNA from 1 species